rnacentral:rRNA from 1 species
AUUGAACGCUGGCGGCAGGCUUAACACAUGCAAGUCGAGCGGAGUGAUGGUGCUUGCACUAUCACUUAGCGGCGGACGGGUGAGUAAUGCUUAGGAAUCUGCCUAUUAGUGGGGGACAGCAUCUCGAAAGGGAUGCUAAUACCGCAUACGUCCUACGGGAGAAAGCAGGGGAUCACUUGUGACCUUGCGCUAAUAGAUGAGCCUAAGUCGGAUUAGCUAGUUGGUGGGGUAAAGGCCUACCAAGGCGACGAUCUGUAGCGGGUCUGAGAGGAUGAUCCGCCACACUGGGACUGAGACACGGCCCAGACUCCUACGGGAGGCAGCAGUGGGGAAUAUCGGACAAUGGGGGGAACCCUGAUCCAGCCAUGCCGCGUGUGUGAAGAAGGCCUUAUGGUUGUAAAGCACUUUAAGCGAGGAGGAGGCUCUUUUGGUUAAUACCCAAGAUGAGUGGACGUUACUCGCAGAAUAAGCACCGGCUAACUCUGUGCCAGCCGCCGCAGUAA